GACCGGGUCGGCCGCGCACGUUCAGACCCAGGAGCGCCUGACAAGUACCCCGACUGAGCCCGGUACAGUCACGGUCGCGCUGAAUGAAUCAGGUACCCAGAGGUCGAUCCACCCACCGUUGGAGGCCUGGAAAAUUAUAUGAGAGAAUAUGGCCUGUCUGUUGUGACCUCCAGGAAGUGAGAUGGAAGGCAGGAGGGGGAGAAGAUGAAGUCUUCAGACACAGCUAUGAUGCUCAACGGUUGCUACCUGUGAGUCACGGGUGGCUUCACAGAGGUGGUGACAUUUGAGAUGAGAAAAUGGAGGCCACAGAGAAAUUAUCACCUCAUGCAGUUCUCUGG